GUUUGUCGUCCACAUCACAGGGCGGUUGAUCAGGGGUUUGAUCAGUGAGCCUCCUGGUUUGUUUAAAGUGAUGCAGUGGAAGUCUGGCAGUAGAGACAACUUUACUUUUAGACUAGAAUGACUUGUUAACUGUAACAGCUGCUUACAGUGUAUGUCUAUCCCAGUGUUUUUAUUCAUGUUCCAUUGUUAUUAAGUGGUUUUGUUUGCUGGUUAUUCUUAAAUCUGAAAGAGUUAAAUACUAGACAUUUAAUGUCAGAAUGUUUGAUUUAAUGUUUAUUCUGAGAAGAUUAAAAAAGCACAUAGGCAGCAGUGAUAUAUCACUGAUGUACUAUAGCAAAACAAAUCCCAGCUUUUCCCUAAAACAUAUUUUAAUAAUGUCAUAAUGUUAAAAUACAUUUGAAUCAAAUACUUUGUAAUCAGCCACUAAUGUUAUAUCGUCUGAAAAUUCUACUCAGGUCAUGUUUUAUAAAAUGCUUUUUGACAAGGGGAUCAAAACCAUUAAAGCUAUUUUUAUAGAUAUAUGAAUGACCUGUCAAAUGACUUGAGGCUUCUGUAGGUAAGGUCCAAAUGAUCAAACCCGCAUGAAGACAUUAAAAGAAGUUUAAUAUUCUGUGCAAACCCGUCUGAAUCGUCUUUCUAUGUGCUUUUCAUUAUGAACCCAAGAUUAGAUCUGUGUUUAUGAAUUGGACACUUGUCUGGUCCUCCCUGUGUGUAAGUGCUUUAGCAGAUUGAAUGAGAGAAAAUAGAGAAGUGGCUCAAAAGAGGGGAAAAUAUUCACGACCCUUCCAGUGACCUCCGUGUGAAUCGCAGUUUCCUUCGGGCCGCGUGUUCCGAGCGCGUCUCUGUGGCCUGCGAAGCGUAUUUGGCGUUUGACAAUAAGUUUAAAGUCAGACGUUCAGUUGAGGCUGACGCAGGAUUAUUUUUCCAGCCUAAUUUGAAGCAGUGGGCCCUUCUCCCUCGGCCUCGCUCGCUCCCUGCCUCCGCCAGUUAAUCCGCAGCCAUCUUGAUCAGAGGCAGACACGGAAAAUUAAACAAAUAAACUCUUUUGGAGAACGUUCCCCUGCGUCUGACCCGACCCCGUGACCUCGAGGACACUGGCCAAGGUGGCCGUCAGAGGAGCCUCAGUAUGUGGGCUUGCGUAAAACCAAAGGGCUGCAGAAAUGCAUGUCUCCUGUCCAGAUACACAUUCUAUAAAUCAUUACUUCAAACGGACUGGAUGUAAGUGAGUGAACCCUGUGUGCUUUGACUUUUCACAUUGACUAUUUUCAACUUUAGCUCUAUAUCAAAAACGUCCUGUUGGUUCUAUCAUUGCCAUAUUUGGCAGUUGACAUCCUAUAAAACUAGUAUUAUUUUAUUUUUUAUGAAUGUAUUAUUAUUAUUAUUAUUAUUAUUAUUAUUAUUAUUAUUAUUAUUAUUAUUAUUAUUAUUAUUAUUAUUAUUAUUAUUAUUAUUUAUUUAUUUAUUUAUUUAUUUAUUUUUUAUUCCUCCUUAUGAGUAAAGUAAAACACAAGAUCAAUUCAUGACCAUGAACAUAAGCAUGUUGUUUAACCGUCUACAUGCAAUUCAUUAUUUAUUUGCCUACUUAGUGUUUUAUUCGAAUGCUAGUUUGUUUGUCUUUAAACUGUUACAAGCAUAAUUUAUUGUCUUUUUUAACAGGACGCUUUAGGUUCCCGGCUGCAGUUUGCAGAUGAUUUGGAAACGUAAAAGGCAGGAAAAUGUCGUAAAUGUGGAACGUACCCACUGUGGCGUCGUUGGCCACGCGUGUGUUCUACAGAUCGGCAGGUUGUCGGAGCAGUUUGGGGCGUCUAUGGUUUCAUGGCGGUAACUGAUGUCCACGGGCUGUGUUGAAUUCAGGAGUUGGAAAUGGGAAACAAGGCGAGUACGUGGGAGUGAUAAGGAGAGCUACACGUGAAGAUUUGCCAGGAUGCUUCACUUCCAAGAUUCAUCUUGGCUGUGGUCACAGAUCAACAGGCAGGAUCCUAUGAUGGUUCAUCUUGUUCCUGUUAGGAGACUACUCUUAGCAACUGUAUGCAUGCUUGACUUGUGGCUCAUGGACUGUCCACUUGUAGGUCAAUAAAGCCUUAAUGGGCAGUGUAUUUCCCCCCUGUAAAAGACACUGGACUAUCCAUGGUGACGCCUUGUGGGUGACUUAUACAGGGUACACA